rnacentral:tRNA from 1 species
AGGGAUAUCGCCAAGCGGUAAGGCACCACACUUUGACUGUGGCACUCGUAGGUUCAAAUCCUGCUAUCCCUGCCA